GUUUUUAUCGAUUUUGAAAUCGGUGUUUGCGCUUUUUUAAUGAUGAUGGGGAUUUUGGAGAUUACGAUGAGGAUGUACAGCUCCCUCUUCUGAUUAAGCUGAAGAGAAUUGCUGGCAGAAUCGAACCUAAAUCACUAGCCACUACUGAGUUAUCCCCUUAAUCCCCAUAAAUAGUUUAUAAGAGUUUGUUUUUUGGUUUUCUAUUCAGUAAAAACGAAUUUAGAUGGUAGAUAAUGAUGAAGCAAAAUUAAUCUAAUCCAACACUUGAUCUGAGAGAUACUAUGUGCAUCUCCAAGUGAAGUUACAACUGUUAGCUUCUGAAUCUAACUUUGUUCAAUUGUGAUUUGCUUCAGUUUAAUGACAAACUACGAGUAAAGUUUAAUCGGAAGAAUUGACUAAUACAUUCAAAAUAGUUGUCUGAUUAAAUGUCUAUUGAACACGACACAAA
rnacentral:sRNA from 1 species